AUUGAACGCUGGCGGCAGGCCUAACACAUGCAAGUCGAGCGGCAGCGGGAAAGUAGCUUGCUACUUUUGCCGGCGAGCGGCGGACGGGUGAGUAAUGCCUGGGAAAUUGCCCAGUCGAGGGGGAUAACAGUUGGAAACGACUGCUAAUACCGCAUACGCCCUACGGGGGAAAGCAGGGGACCUUCGGGCCUUGCGCGAUUGGAUAUGCCCAGGGGGGAUUAGCUAGUUGGUGAGGUAAUGGCUCACCAAGGCGACGAUCCCUAGCUGGUCUGAGAGGAUGAUCAGCCACACUGGAACUGAGACACGGUCCAGACUCCUACGGGAGGCAGCAGUGGGGAAUAUUGCACAAUGGGGGAAACCCUGAUGCAGCCAUGCCGCGUGUGUGAAGAAGGCCUUCGGGUUGUAAAGCACUUUCAGCGAGGGGGAAAGGUCAGUAGCUAAUAUCUGCUGGCUGUGACGUUACUCGCAGAAGAAGCACCGGCUAACUCCGUGCCAGCAGCCGCCGCCGUAA
rnacentral:rRNA from 1 species